rnacentral:rRNA from 1 species
GAUGAACGCUGGCGGCGUGCUUAACACAUGCAAGUCGAACGGAAAGGCUCCUGCUUGCAGGGGUACUCGAGUGGCGAACGGGUGAGUAACACGUGGGUGAUCUGCCCUGCACUUCGGGAUAAGCCUGGGAAACUGGGUCUAAUACCGGAUAGGACCACAUUUUGGAUGGUGUGGUGGAAAGUUUUUCGGUGUGGGAUGAGCUCGCGGCCUAUCAGCUUGUUGGUGGGGUAAUGGCCUACCAAGGCGUCGACGGGUAGCCGGCCUGAGAGGGUGUACGGCCACAUUGGGACUGAGAUACGGCCCAGACUCCUACGGGAGGCAGCAGUGGGGAAUAUUGCACAAUGGGCGCAAGCCUGAUGCAGCGACGCCGCGUGGGGGAUGACGGCCUUCGGGUUGUAAACUCCUUUCGCUAGGGACGAAGCGCAAGUGACGGUACCUGGAGAAGAAGCACCGGCGAACUACGU